GGAUUAGCCCAACACCGAAGCCUGCGGUUAUUUGAUCGUAAGGCAAUGUGGUGUUUAGGGUGGCUUCAGGCAUUACUGCUCUGUCCCAAGUCCAGCAAUGAGUACGGCUUCCCAUUCUGGCCCAAAGAGGGUGAAAGGCCCGUGGGGGCAGAGAUCAAGUGUGACAGUUUUGCUCUGAGCUACCCUUGGAGUCGGGUUGUUUGUGAAUGCAGCCCAAAGUGGGUGGUAAACUCCAUCCAAGGCUAAAUACUUACACGAGUCCGAUAGCAAACAAGUACCGUGAGGGAAAGUUGAAAAGUACUUUGAAGAGAGAGUAAACAGUGCGUGAAACCGCUCAAAGGUAAACGGGUGGAGUUGAACUGCAAGCUCUGGGAAUUCAGCUGAUGAGUGUGAUUUGUACUUGGGCAUACUGGCCGCCUUCAGUGUCUGUUUAACCGCAGGUGCCUUCCUUUUUGGUGGGUAUGUGUGAAUCGUUUGCUUACGACGCGCGCACUGUUGGUGUGAGGGUCUGCUUGUCAGUGCACUUUCUCAGGGUGUUCACCACGACCGGCACUGCUGCCUGUCUGCUAUGGUCAAACUGAUCAGGUCUGAUUUCUGUCAGUCUUGGUUGGGUCGGUAGGUGGCUCUUUGGCUCAUUUAUGGGCCGUGAGUGUUACUAACUGGCUGUAGUGGAUCUGUGCGGUGUGUCGGAGAUGGCGGCUUCGCAUGCGUGCUUAGACCUUCGGGCAUUGCUGAGUGUGGUCGGUUUGUUACUAGCUUCGGCUGGUCGGCUGAUGGCUUGGUUUUGUCACGUCGGCGGUUGCGUGUGUGGUUUGCAUUGGGCCAAUAGUCUGUGGUGUAGUGGUAGACGAUCCACCUGACCCGUCUUGAAACACGGACCAAGGAGUUUAACAUGUGCGCGAGUCAUUGGGUGUUACGAAACCCAAAGGCGAAGUGAAGGUAAAGGUUCGGCUUGUCCGGACUAAGGUGAGAUCCUGUUGUCUUGCUCAUACUUUCCAAGUUGCGAGCAGCGGGCGCAUCACCGGCCCGUCCCAUGACGUAGACAUGUGACCUCGUGUUGUGUGCACCGUCGGGGCGGAGCAAGAGCGUACACGUUGAGACCCGAAAGAUGGUGAACUAUGCUUGUGAAGGUUGAAGCCAGAGGAAACUCUGGUGGAGGACCGUAGCGAUUCUGACGUGCAAAUCGAUCGUAUA
rnacentral:rRNA from 1 species